ACCCGCUGAAUUUAAGCAUAUCAAUAAGCGGAGGAAAAGAAACCAACAGGGAUUGCCUUAGUAACGGCGAGUGAAGCGGCAAAAGCUCAAAUUUGAAAUCGGCCACCAGGUCGAGUUGUAAUUUGUAGAUUGUAUCUUGAGAGCGGAUUAAAGUCUGUUGGAACACAGCGCCUUAGAGGGUGACAGCCCCGUAAAAUCUAUUCUCAUUGUAAGAUACUUUCGAAGAGUCGAGUUGUUUGGGAAUGCAGCUCUAAGUGGGAGGUAAAUUCCUUCUAAAGCUAAAUAUUGACGAGAGACCGAUAGCGAACAAGUACUGUGAAGGAAAGAUGAAAAGCACUUUGAAAAGAGAGUGAAAAAGUACGUGAAAUUGUUAAAAGGGAAGGGUAUUGAAUCAGACUUGGUGCUGUUGUUCAACUGUGUUUCGGCAUAGUGUACUCAGCAGUACUAGGCCAAGGCGGGGUGUUUGGGAGUGAAAAAGAAGUAGGAACGUAACUCUUCGGAGUGUUAUAGCCUACUUUCAUAGCUCCUCAGGCGCCUCAGGACUGCGCUUCGGCAAGGACCUUGGCAUAAUGAUUCUAUACCGCCCGUCUUGAAACACGGACCAAGGAG
rnacentral:rRNA from 1 species